CACGCAGGCGGUUUGUUAAGUCAGAUGUGAAAUCCCCGGGCUCAACCUGGGAACUGCAUUUGAAACUGGCAAGCUAGAGUCUCGUAGAGGGGGUAGAAUUCCAGGUGUAGCGGUGAAAUGCGUAGAGAUCUGGAGGAAUACCGGUGGCGAAGGCGGCCCCCUGGACGAAGACUGACGCUCAGGUGCGAAAGCGUGGGAAGCAAACA
rnacentral:rRNA from 1 species